rnacentral:rRNA from 1 species
UUGGAGGGCAAGUCUGGUGCCAGCAGCCGCGGUAAUUCCAGCUCCAAUAGCGUAUAUUAAAGUUGUUGCAGUUAAAAAGCUCGUAGUUGAAUUUCGGGAUCGACGGGUCGGUCGCGCCUCUGGUGUGUACUGGCCCUGUCGGUUUCUCCCUUCUGACGAACCACGAUGUCAUUAAUUUGGUGUCGUGGGAAAUCAGGACUGUUACUUUGAAAAAAUUAGAGUGUUUAAAGCAGGCUAACGCUUGAAUACAUUAGCAUGGAAUAAUGAAAUAGGACAUCGCAUUCUAUUUUGUUGGUUUCUAGGAUCGAUGUAAUGAUUAAUAGGGAUAGUUGGGGGCAUUAGUAUUCAAUUGUCAGAGGUGAAAUUCUUGGAUUUAUUGAAGACUAACUACUGCGAAAGCAUUUGCCAAGGAUGUUUUCAUUAAUCAAGAACGAAAGUUAGGGGAUCGAAGACGAUCAGAUACCGUCGUAGUCUUAACCAUAAACUAUGCCGACUAGGGAUCGGAUGAUGUUGAUUUUUUAAUGACUCAUUCGGCGCCUUACGGGAAAC